GUUUUCCUUCUCUGCCUCUCCUGGGCUGUUCCCCCCUCCGCCAUCACCCAGCCGGGGCAGCGCUGCCCUGCCUCCUCCGGCCUGCAGCGCCGAGCUCCCCGGGCCCGCUCGGGCAGGGCUGGCGCGGAGCCGGUGCCGCGCUGCAGUGGAGCCGCCAUGGCCCGAUGAGGUGUUACAUGUGGCGUCUUUUUUUUCUUCUUUUUUUUUUUUUUUUUCUUUUUUCUCCGUCUGCUUUGUUUUUUUGGUGGGAUUUUUUUUUCCCCCGAGCAGAUUCUGCUGCAGCUCGCUUUGAGUGGAGGCUGAGGGUUAUUUCGGAAUUUCACAAGCCUCGCUGUGCUCUGCGGGGAAUUGCAGCUUGUGCUCACUUCAGACCCAGAGUAGGUGAGCCAGGAAAGCCUGGCUUGACCAACCACUUCAGAGGGCAGGACAGGGAGGAAAAGCAAACACUGUAUAGAGGUGGCCUCCCUGGUAAGGCUAGAGCAGGACCGUCCUGCGGACUCUGAGGGAGGGAGAAGGUAAGUGGCUGCUUGGCAGAGGCUGUCUGCGGGAGCGGCAUGUGCCGGGCAGGGUGCGCCCUGCCCGCAGCUCCUGCGGCUCAGCACAAGCCGGUCCGUGGGUUUGUACGACCUGUGCUGUGGUAUGUGCCGAGGCUCAGGGCUGUUUCCCUGCAAGGUAGCAGGGUGCUGCCGCGAAGGAGGCACCGCAGCCCGCGCCUUUCGCAACAACUGCGCUCAUCGCUCCAUUCCUCGCUCCCCCCCUCGCUCCUCACCGGGUCAGCCUCUAUGUCGAGAGCAAGCGACAAACCGUCCGCACAAAACAGAACACGUUCCCGUGGAGGGGGAGAAAACCAAACAAACCAACAACAAAACCAAAGCUCUUCCGCAGUGCCAGGCUGGCGUUGUAGCGCUGCGAGCCCUGUCGGGGGCUGCGGCGCUCGGAGCCGGGGCCGCCCGGGCCGCCGCUCGGUCCUUGCCCGGCCGGGAGCGCCGGGCCCGCGCUGGAGCCAGCGCUGAGCACCCGGCCCGGGUCACGACGGCUCCCAGUGACCGUCUGCUGGCAAAAUCAGAAGGAACGGUGACGUUGUUCUUAACUGAACACCAUUAAAAUGCUCCUCUGGUAUCUGUCAAUAGAGGUGGAAAGUAUUUCAGCUUCCUGGAAAUGGCCGAGAGAGGCGACGUGCAGAUCAAAGUGCGGCGCAGAGCUGGGCUCUUGUUUGCAGGGGGUUUUGAACUGUAGUGAAAAUGUUUCUGCAGCUUGCAUCGUAAUGAGUUAAGUCAGCACGUGAAGCGACUAAAAAAAGGCAUAUUUAAACAGCAUCGGGCUAUUAACUUUCCUGGGAUUUCAGAUUUACGUGUAAAUAUACUUGGCUGUUAGCAAUACCAGCAUUUAAACCAUAACGUUGAUCUGUUCAACCCUGAAGCAAACCAGUUCUGCCUAACGCAGCUUUGAAGCGACACAGCCAGACCAUAAUACUGUGGGAGCUUAGACAGCUUUGUCUGUACUUGCAUCUCUCUGCAUAUUUUUCCAGGACUCUGAUCUUUGUCUGCGAUUAAUCAUUGUCCAGGACGGCUGUUCCCGGUGGUAGAAUCCAUGAAGUGCUCCAGCUGGGAGAGGUCCUAACGCGUGUGCCUGGCGCUGCGUACGUGCAAACCAGGGCCAGAAACUGCUGGGGCAGCAGGCGCUGGACAGCGAGCCUGCCGUGCCGCCCCAGUGAGUUGUGUGAGUCCUCAGCACUGCUGGAAGUUGUUUUUUUUGUCACCAUUUUGAUCUGGGCAGAAGGGGACAGAGCCAUCGGCAGUGACCGUGCCCGAGCCAACAGCCUCCUGGCUCAGAUGUGUCUGUCAGGCAUCCAGGGAUUACUCCAGCCUGUGUUCAGCUGGUUUCCCAGCAGGGCUGCUAAAAUACUCUCGGGUCUUCUCCUUCGUAGGAUGACAACCCUGUACUGUAGGAUUGUGCUCUUUGUUUUGCAUGUAUGGCUUUGCUCUAGUCCUCUUGAAAACUCUUAGUGUUGUUGCUUGCCAUGGCCUUUUAAAAUUAUUGGUUUUAUUUGAUACUCCCUCCUGAUACUGCUUAGUGUCACCUACAAACUUGGUUGGUUAUGAUUUUAUGUUUUCUUCCAGAUAACCUAUCUGCACUGUGGGUGUUUCCUGGUUCCUGCUGUGUGUACACACACCUCAGCAGUGUCAAUAUUGUGUCAGGAGGAGGUCUGGUUCCACACCAUCCUUUGCCACACCCCAGUUGCAUGGGAAGAAAGCCCAGUUUAGGAGCUGGAAGGGAGCCAGAGGCACACUGCAACACUUGCCUGCCCUGGUGUCUAUUAUGUAGCCAUUAAAUAAUGCAGAGCGCAAAACAGGUGGUUGCAGGACCCAUAAAAGAAAGAUGAGAGGUCAGGGGCAGGGUGGUUACAAAGUACAUUUUGAGACCUUCCUGUUAGAUGGUUUUUUUUAGACGUGAUGCUUCACUACAUACUCUGUAUCCAGAAGUUCAUUCAAGACCUAAAUUCAUUAGGGACUUCUUCCCCCCUGCCAAAUAUGAAGUUGAAGGAAGGAGGGGAGAAAAUUACAUAGAGCAACACAGUUGCAUUAGACAGUUUUAUUUUUAGGAAACCAGGCUAAGAAUAUCAAAGGAAUAUUGAGUAGGAAUAUGGACAGGGUAUUUGCCUGUUCAGAUUUUCUUGCCAUGAAAUUAUUCAUUCCUUCCUAAGAACAGCAGAUGAUCUGUCUAGGGAAUUGUCAGCCAAAAUAAGCAACCUGCUGACAGAUUUCACCUGUGCCCCAGCAUGCUCUGAGGAUGCAUGGGAUGCGAGCCUUGAACAAUGACAGGGAAUCACUAGGCUGUGUUGUUUGGCUGCCGGGGUGCAGAGAUGCAUGGUGACACCCAACAGUGGAACAAACGCUUACUGUGUUUGAAAUCCAGACAAAUUUUGAUGGAUAUGUUGGCUAUUUGCCAUAGCAGGGGGAGGGGGGGUGUGUUACUUUUUAAACUGUAUAUGAUCAUAUUAUUUCUGCAAGUAUUAUGACAAAGCCACCUCUGUAAGGUAGGGAGUGAGUGCUUUCAGAGAUCUAAUCUUUCUCGGGCUAUAAAGGAAUAAAGAAGCUGUUUCAACACCUGA